AACGAACGCUGGCGGCAUGCCUAACACAUGCAAGUCGAACGAUUGCCUUCGGGUGAUAGUGGCGCACGGGUGCGUAACGCGUGGGAAUCUGCCCUUAGGUUCGGAAUAACAGCUGGAAACGGCUGCUAAUACCGGAUGAUAUCGCGAGAUCAAAGAUUUAUCGCCUGAGGAUGAGCCCGCGUUGGAUUAGGUAGUUGGUGGGGUAAAGGCCUACCAAGCCGACGAUCCAUAGCUGGUCUGAGAGGAUGAUCAGCCACACUGGGUCUGAGACACGGCCCAGACUCCUACGGGAGGCAGCAGUGGGGAAUAUUGGACAAUGGGCGCAAGCCUGAUCCAGCAAUGCCGCGUGAGUGAUGAAGGCCCUAGGGUUGUAAAGCUCUUUUACCCGGGAAGAUAAUGACUGUACCGGGAGAAUAAGCCCCGGCUAACUCCGUG
rnacentral:rRNA from 1 species